rnacentral:sRNA from 1 species
CUCUUUCCCUUCGGUGUGGUGAGUAAGUGUAGUUGUCGUCUCUUGUAGUGCAGCUGCUGGUUCUCACACCUUUUAGGUCUGUUCUCGUCUUCCGUUCCGACUCUCUCUCUUUCGUUGCAGCCACUGAAGAUCCUGGUGUCGCCAUGGGCCGCCGCCCCGCCCGUUGUUACCGAUAUUGUAAGAACAAGCCGUACCCAAAGUCUCGCUUCUGCCGAGGUGUCCCUGAUGCCAAGAUUCGCAUUUUUGACCUGGGGCGGAAGAAGGCAAAAGUGGAUGAGUUUCCGCUCUGUGGCCACAUGGUAUCAGAUGAAUAUGAGCAGCUGUCCUCUGAAGCCCUGGAGGCUGCCCGAAUUUGUGCCAAUAAGUACAUGGUAAAAAGUUGUGGCAAAGAUGGCUUCCAUAUCCGGGUGAGGCUCCACCCCUUCCACGUCAUCCGCAUCAACAAGAUGUUGUCCUGUGCUGGGGCUGACAGGUGAGCUUGGUCUGGGCUUUUUAAGGCAGUUGGAGUCUCUACAUUAUUAGGCUUGCAUUAUUGCAUCAGAGCAUAGAGGUGGCCCCAGUGACUCAGCCACUAUGGCUACUAGAAAAGCCAGGCUGGCAAGUGACUUUCAGUGGUCACUCAGGACCCUUUCCUGUGGACUGUUGCGGAUACAAAGCAAGCAUGAGUAAGUCUUAGCAAGCUCUUCCCCACAGGUUAGGGCAAACACUUGUGAUUGGAGUAGCUCUUCUUGCUUUUAGCUUGAUGACAACCAUCUUGCCAGCAAGCAGGUAGUUGAAGCUGGCAGAGGAGCUCAGUGUCGCCUUUUCAAUGGUUCUUGGGAUGCUCUGCAGCCAAUUAAGCCGACUGAGUUCCUUUCCUCAUGGGGGCCCAGUGUGCAAUGGCUGCACACAGCAGCUUCCUUGGUAGUGUACGCAGCCUGUUGGUUGUAUGGGUUGCUCUAAGGGACCUUGGAGACAGGCCUUUCCGAUGGAUGUUCAUGUUUCUGACCUUGCACUACCCCAAUGUAGGCUCCAAACAGGCAUGCGAGGUGCCUUUGGAAAGCCCCAGGGCACUGUGGCCAGGGUUCACAUUGGCCAAGUUAUCAUGUCCAUCCGCACCAAGCUGCAGAACAAGGAGCAUGUGAUUGAGGCUCUGCGCAGGGCCAAGUUCAAGUUUCCUGGCCGCCAGAAGGUACGUAGUGCUGCAGCCCCCUUCUCCCACCUUUUUUGCCUCAGGCCUCCUGACUCAAUUCUUUCCAUUGCUCCCUAGAUCCACAUCUCAAAGAAGUGGGGCUUCACCAAGUUCAAUGCUGAUGAAUUUGAAGACAUGGUGGCUGAGAAGCGGCUCAUCCCAGAUGGCUGUGGGGUCAAGUACAUCCCCAAUCGUGGCCCUCUGGACAAGUGGCGGGCCCUGCACUCAUGAGGGCUUCCAAUGUGCUGCCCCCCUCUUAAUACUCACCAAUAAAUUCUACUUCCUGUCCA